UGUAUGGUUAAGUGACUAAGCGUACACGGUGGAUGCCUGGGCAGUCAGAGGCGAUGAAGGACGUACUAACUUGCGAUAAGCGCAGAUAAGGCAGUAAGAGCCGUUUGAGUCUGCGAUUUCCGAAUGGGGAAACCCAACUGCAUAAGCAGUUACUGUUAACUGAAUACAUAGGUUAACAGAGCAAACCGGGGGAACUGAAACAUCUAAGUACCCCGAGGAGAAGAAAUCAACCGAGAUUCCGGUAGUAGCGGCGAGCGAACCUGGAUUAGCCCUUAAGCACUCGGUGAAGUAGGUGAACAAGCUGGAAAGCUUGGCGAUACAGGGUGAUAGCCCCGUAACCGACGCUUCAUCGAGCGUGAAAUCGAGUAGGGCGGGACACGUGAUAUCCUGUCUGAAUAUGGGGGGACCAUCCUCCAAGGCUAAAUACUCCUGACUGACCGAUAGUGAACCAGUACCGUGAGGGAAAGGCGAAAAGAACCCCUGUGAGGGGAGUGAAAUAGAACCUGAAACCGUGUACGUACAAGCAGUAGGAGCACCUUCGUGGUGUGACUGCGUACCUUUUGUAUAAUGGGUCAGCGACUUAUAUUCAGUGGCAAGGUUAACCGUAUAGGGGAGCCGUAGCGAAAGCGAGUCUUAACUGGGCGCUCAGUCUCUGGAUAUAGACCCGAAACCGGGUGAUCUAGCCAUGGGCAGGUUGAAGGUUGAGUAACAUCAACUGGAGGACCGAACCGACUAAUGUUGAAAAAUUAGCGGAUGACUUGUGGCUAGGGGUGAAAGGCCAAUCAAACUCGGAGAUAGCUGGUUCUCCCCGAAAGCUAUUUAGGUAGCGCCUCGGACGAAUACUACUGGGGGUAGAGCACUGUUAAGGCUAGGGGGUCAUCCCGACUUACCAACCCUUUGCAAACUCCGAAUACCAGUAAGUACUAUCCGGGAGACACACGGCGGGUGCUAACGUCCGUCGUGGAGAGGGAAACAACCCAGACCGCCAGCUAAGGUCCCAAAGUAUUGCUAAGUGGGAAACGAUGUGGGAAGGCUCAGACAGCUAGGAUGUUGGCUUAGAAGCAGCCAUCAUUUAAAGAAAGCGUAAUAGCUCACUAGUCGAGUCGGCCUGCGCGGAAGAUGUAACGGGGCUAAGCAAUACACCGAAGCUGCGGCAAUGUCUUUUAGACAUUGGGUAGGGGAGCGUUCUGUAAGCCGUUGAAGGUGAAUCGUAAGGUUUGCUGGAGGUAUCAGAAGUGCGAAUGCUGACAUGAGUAACGACAAAGGGGGUGAAAAACCUCCUCGCCGGAAGACCAAGGGUUCCUGUCCAACGUUAAUCGGGGCAGGGUGAGUCGACCCCUAAGGUGAGGCCGAAAGGCGUAAUCGAUGGGAAACGGGUUAAUAUUCCCGUACUUCUGACUAUUGCGAUGGGGGGACGGAGAAGGCUAGGUGGGCCAGGCGACGGUUGUCCUGGUUCAAGUGCGUAGGCUUGAGAGUUAGGUAAAUCCGGCUCUCUCUAAGGCUGAGACACGACGUCGAGCUACUACGGUAGUGAAGUCAUUGAUGCCAUGCUUCCAGGAAAAGCCUCUAAGCUUCAGAUAGUCAGGAAUCGUACCCCAAACCGACACAGGUGGUCGGGUAGAGAAUACCAAGGCGCUUGAGAGAACUCGGGUGAAGGAACUAGGCAAAAUGGUACCGUAACUUCGGGAGAAGGUACGCUCUUGAUGGUGAAGUCCCUCGCGGAUGGAGCUGACGAGAGUCGCAGAUACCAGGUGGCUGCAACUGUUUAUUAAAAACACAGCACUGUGCAAAAUCGCAAGAUGACGUAUACGGUGUGACGCCUGCCCGGUGCCGGAAGGUUAAUUGAUGGGGUUAGCGCAAGCGAAGCUCUUGAUCGAAGCCCCGGUAAACGGCGGCCGUAACUAUAACGGUCCUAAGGUAGCGAAAUUCCUUGUCGGGUAAGUUCCGACCUGCACGAAUGGCGUAAUGAUGGCCACGCUGUCUCCACCCGAGACUCAGUGAAAUUGAAAUCGCUGUGAAGAUGCAGUGUACCCGCGGCUAGACGGAAAGACCCCGUGAACCUUUACUACAGCUUGGCACUGAACAUUGAACCUACAUGUGUAGGAUAGGUGGGAGGCUAUGAAGACGUGACGCCAGUUGCGUUGGAGCCGUCCUUGAAAUACCACCCUUGUAUGUUUGAUGUUCUAACUUAGACCCAUUAUCUGGGUUGAGGACAGUGCCUGGUGGGUAGUUUGACUGGGGCGGUCUCCUCCCAAAGAGUAACGGAGGAGCACGAAGGUGGGCUAAUCACGGUUGGACAUCGUGAGGUUAGUGCAAUGGCAUAAGCCCGCUUAACUGCGAGAAUGACGGUUCGAGCAGGUGCGAAAGCAGGUCAUAGUGAUCCGGUGGUUCUGUAUGGAAGGGCCAUCGCUCAACGGAUAAAAGGUACUCCGGGGAUAACAGGCUGAUACCGCCCAAGAGUUCAUAUCGACGGCGGUGUUUGGCACCUCGAUGUCGGCUCAUCACAUCCUGGGGCUGAAGUCGGUCCCAAGGGUAUGGCUGUUCGCCAUUUAAAGUGGUACGCGAGCUGGGUUUAGAACGUCGUGAGACAGUUCGGUCCCUAUCUGCCGUGGGCGUUGGAAGAUUGAAGGGGGCUGCUCCUAGUACGAGAGGACCGGAGUGGACGAACCUCUGGUGUUCGGGUUGUGUCGCCAGACGCAUUGCCCGGUAGCUAAGUUCGGAAUUGAUAAGCGCUGAAAGCAUCUAAGCGCGAAGCGAGC
rnacentral:rRNA from 1 species